GAUGAACGCUGGCGGCGUGCUUAACACAUGCAAGUCGAACGGGAAACCUUUUAUUGAAGCUUCGGCAGAUUUAGCUGGUUUCUAGUGGCGGACGGGUGAGUAACGCGUGGGUAACCUGCCCUAUACAGGGGGAUAACAACCAGAAAUGGUUGCUAAUACCGCAUAAGCGCACAGGGCCGCAUGGUCCGGUGUGAAAAACUCCGGUGGUAUAGGAUGGACCCGCGUUGGAUUAGCCAGUUGGCAGGGUAACGGCCUACCAAAGCGACGAUCCAUAGCCGGCCUGAGAGGGUGAACGGCCACAUUGGGACUGAGACACGGCCCAGACUCCUACGGGAGGCAGCAGUGGGGAAUAUUGCACAAUGGGGGAAACCCUGAUGCAGCGACGCCGCGUGAAGAAAGAAGUAUCUCGGUAUGUAAACUUCUAUCAGCAGGGAAGAUAGUGACGGUACCUGACUAAGAAGCCCCGGCUAACUACGUG
rnacentral:rRNA from 1 species